rnacentral:rRNA from 1 species
GUGGAUUAGAUCCCCUAGUAGUCCACGCCCUAAACGAUGCAUAUUUGGUGUGGGUCAUUCAGUUGAUCCGUGCCGGAGCUAACGCGUUAAAUAUGCCGCCUGGGGAGUACAGUCGCAAGGCUGAAACUCAAAGGAAUUGACGGGGGCCCGCACAAGCGGUGGAGCAUGUGGUUUAAUUCGACGCAACGCGAAGAACCUUACCUGGGCUCGAAAUGCUACGGACCAGUCUGUGAAAGCAGGCCUUCCCGCAAGGGACCGUAGUAUAGGUGCUGCAUGGCCGUCGACAACU